GAAAAAAGCGACAUUUCCCUUAGGCAUUUAUUCUACAAACUACUAGGCUACAUUCUGAGGAAAUAAAGGGAUAAUAAUUGCAAAAGCUUGCCAUCUGUCAGAUUUUAAAAGUUGUAUAUAAAAAACUAAAGAGAGAUCUACAUUAAAAGGUCAUGAAGUCUAACACUCCAAAGUCUAGAAAUGCAGAAAUUAAUGCUGGAGUACUCAACAUCAUUCACAUCUACCUCAUGAUGUAAUAUCCAGUUAAACAAUUAUAUAUUUUGGUUUUUUUUUUUCCUCUGCCUCACUUAAUGAGCUGACUGUGAUUGUUUUCCCUUCUCCUCAUUUUUCAGGUUUUGGAUUCAGGAACUACACAUAAACCAAAUUGUUCUGAAGUUUAAUCUCCUUAAAGGUUUUUCUGUUAUACUCUCCACAAUACCAUUUGGAUGUUUCACUCAUGCUAUGCUCAGGGCAACCAUGAGAGCUGUCAAGAGCACUGUUAAUUCCCUCUGGUAGCCAAAGAACUCAGGCGUGGAGUGCUCCCAACAUUUGGGUGCUCAGUCUGAAAUGAGCCUAAAUGUUGAAAGUACUCAGGCUUAUGCACGGUCAUAUCCACUCCAAGUGUAGCUGCUACUGCAACCAUUGUAGUGAAGUACAUAUGGUUCUCCUGGAAUGCAAAGUACAUGUCUCAGGUCAGGCUAUGGAAGCCAAGGGAUGAAAACACUGAGUAUCGGUGCAAACCGCUGGCUUAACACUGGAUAGAUCAACACGUCAGAUUCCAUAGACUGAUCCCAGUCCAUUUAUGAGGUUCUGUAGCCUCAUGUUCCCUGCACAACAUCUAAGAGCAAAAUUCACAGACUUGUUAAUUCAAAAACCCUCAAUGGAAUUAUUUCCCAUUGCAUGAAAUAAACACAUAUUUAUUGAACUAGAGAAACAGAAAAAGCUUCAAACUUAAUAAAUGGGCAUUCAUGGACAUGCAGUUAUGUGUAAGAGGUGCAAAACCAAGAGAUCUAAGUUCUGAUACUACUACCACUGAAUGUUUUAAGUAUUUUAGUCAGAGUGGGGAAAAUUCAGCAGAAAUCACUGAGCUUUUUCAGCCAAAGAAUACCCUUUAUUAAAGUCAUUACAGUACAGCGCCUGGUUUAAUACUUAAAGCUACAUUUCCCACACUUAGGUGCAUAUUCUAGAGGUUGGAAUUUGGGAAAAGUACUGGUGGCAGUGCCUUUGCCAGUAUAUUGUGCAAAGCUUAAUCUAAUAGGUAGGCUCUGAAAUAGCUACCUAAAAAAAACAGGCGAAAGAAUAGCAAUUUGUGAAUCUUCACAAGAUUUAGUUGUAAGGUGCGUAGGUAGUUAUUCAGCACUGUCAAGAUUUAUGAGACUUAGCUAGAAUAGGGAAAUCACUGUCACAGGCAUAGGUGUCUGGGGACUAAGGGUGAGGUCCACUAUCAAGGUGUGGAAAAGAGUCAAAAUUCAGUAUAGUGUUAAGGUUGACACUAGUCUGUCCCACCGCAUCUAGAUCUAUUGGACAGCAUUCUCUUAAUGGUUUAUUGUAACCAAUAAAUUUUUGUGUAUGCCAUCAUGGUGUUCCCAGUUUUCUUGAAAUGAAAUUCUCUUAACAAUCCCAACUGCAUAUGUGAGAGUAUGAUCCAGAUCAUAAAUUGACCAAACUUUUGACUUCUCAUGUAGAUAUGAUAAUUUUUGGCUUGAGAACUGGUACUGUCUAUCAAACACAGCAAAAGCACAGAAUAUCAAACAGAUGUCAGUGCAGAACACUGCGAGUGUUUAUAUACUCUAAUAUGCUGUAACACAUGAGCUUUAAUUUAAUCCUGAUGUGUAUCUGGUGUCUGAGCUCUUGGUAGGAAUCGAGACCUUCCUGGGUCUUUGAUCAGGUGCAAUCACAUCUAAAGGAGAUCAUUCUGCCACAUCAUCAUUAUUAUUAUUUCUAUAAAUAGAGAAAACUGGCAGGGGUAGCAUAUGUUGCAAAGUCAUGGAAACCUGGCCUAUAUUGGAAAGAAAAGUACAGCAAAACGCCCUGGAUCUGGGGUCCAGUGCCAGGCUCUAUAGAAGAGUGUGCUUUACUGGGAAUAGACUUUCGUGCUUUGUUCCCCACCUGCUCCAAGCUUGAUUCAGCAUGCUCAUGCUGCUCAACCUUCCUCUGUCCUCCUGGUUGCUCCUAAGACAAAGCUCCUCACUUCAUUAGUCACAGAAGUACUCUAAUUUCUCAUCCUACUCCUGGUCAUUUUGCAUAACCAACUCUCCUCUCCUUGUGUGCAUUGCUGCUCACUGUCACACUGCCUUCUCUCUCAUUCAGUAGUCUUAUUAACUAGUCUCAUUUUCCUUUUCUGGUAGCUUGAUUUAUUUUCCUUGUCUUCCACCCUAGACAUCCAGUUGUAUUCUAAACUCUGUAUCAAUUUCAGUUAUCUCCUUCAGCUUCACCCCCCACUAUCACUGCCUAAGAAGCUCUCCUGUUGGCACUGAAGUUUCUUUUCAGACCCUUUUCUUCUUUUUUCUAACUUCACCAGUCCCUAGAUCACUCUCCUAAAUCACUCUCCAAGCUGUUUGGCAGAUCAAGCACAUUGAUUGUUCUCAGGGAUUCCUGGUCUUGCCUGGAAACAUUUAAAUGUCUGACAAAAGCUCCAAGCCAAACUCCCAGUUUUGCUCCCCAGUCUGACUCACAGCCUAAGUUCCUUACUCUGUUUGCCACCCACCUUUUCAGUGUCUCUGUCUCAGCUCUGCCUUGUCCCCUGUGCAUAGGAUCUGGUUAGUUUAAUCUUGCAAACUGCUAGAUCAAGGGUCAGGAAGAGAACUGGAGAAGCACACAACCCACCCAAUGUGGGGGUGUAGACCAUGCACAAUCACUGCAGCCCAGAGCUACAAUGGCAGGAAGAAAUCCCCCCCCACACACACUACACAUUCAGAGAAAAUGACACUUUCAGGGCAUUUAUACUCUGGAAUUUCAAGACAUGUGAGCUGUCUACAUUGACUUAUCAGUGUGUGUGUGGGUUUUCAUGUAUAAAGAAGUUGCUCCUCACUAAAUGACAAAUUUGACUCCAAGCCAAGAACUGCUGGAGUUUCUAAGCAAAAAGGAUAGUUCUGAAAAUGUAUAUUCCUUCCAAACUUUCUCUAUUCUGAUCUCCUUUAAAAAAGAGAAGUUAGUGGUUUAUAAGAGCCUUGAACAUUCUUCUAAGCAUUCUACCAGCCAUCUACAAUAGAAAAAAAUAAGUUACGGGGAAAAAAAUUCCAACAAUCUGUUAAUGCUUCCCACAGAGAGCAAUUAUCCAAGGACUAGAACUUAAAGAUCAAACUAGAGAACAAGAUACAAGAAAAACCUUCCCUAACAUGCUCAAGGACUAACCUCUUAUGAGUUCAAUGGAACACCUGGCAGCAUGUGAGUAUGAUUAAUGCUCAAAAUAAUGAUAACCAAUUCAAAGGUCAAAUACUGGAAAAGUAAAAAUCAAGUAGUUAUUGCCUUUGAUUUGUUUUACCCCAUUCAUAUAAAUUUAACACACAAUGGCAAAUACAAAAGUUCUAGUUGAAUAGAAAGAACUGUGUGCAGAAGGCCACGUGUGCAAUUUCUUAAAUCCACAGACAUGUUUAUCCAGCAUUUUUUCUACUUCUGCAAGGUAUAUACCAGGUUAUUUUAAAACGGUAAUUUUGGUGGUUUCCCCUGUAACUGCCUUUUUUUUUUCACAAGUUUUAAUUAAAUAUAAAAAGAAAAAUACCAAUUGGGCUAAAUAACAUGCUGUGAGAGUAAAGCUACCCUGUAGUCAAAGAUAAAUAAUAAUGUAAGACCAAAAAUGCUAAUGACAUACUAUGAAUGUAGCGAUCAGCUGAUUAGCCAUUUAAUUUCUCAUUUGAAAUCAAAUUUGCAUACCUAACUUAUCAAUUCUGAUGUGGCAGUAACAUUAAAAUUAAAUAUGUGUUUUGGUAUUUCAGUAAAUGACAGCCAUUGGUUAAAUUGCAAUAAUACUAGCCUUUGGGACAAACAUGUAGAGCACAUUGCCUAAUUCAUUUCAUUUUUAAAUGAACAAAGUCUGACUCUGAAUGCCCUGCUUUUCUACAAAUAUGCCUGGAAGGGCUUAACUUUGGCAGCUGCAAAAAUAAGCCCCAUUUAUAAUGUCAAAACCCAACUUCUGAAGAAGAAGAGUACUGUUCAGAGAGAACAGUAGCUCCCCGGAGAGGAUACGUGUUUCAGAUGUGGCUUAUACAGAGUUGCUCACAAGACAUGUUAGGCCUCCAUGCAACAGUUUCUAGCAACUGAUAUCUUGUAACGUUACACUCUCAAGAAGGAAAUAUGAGGUUUCUAAGGCUUUUUAAAUGAAAAAAGAACAACCAAAAAACUUCCCUAACAAUUAAGGGCUUAUAUAAUAUUUUAUUAUUUAGGUCAGAAAAAUGACCACCAUAGAUCAUAAAUCCAUGUAAUUUGUGUUACUAUCCACUUUAUUGCUGAAGCUGUUGAAUGACUUCAGGGACAUCAAGAGUAAAGUUGUCUCUUUUGAGGCAUUUUUCAGUACUGCUAAUUAAUGCAUUGUUGAUUAGGAACAUGUGUCUGAGAUAAUGAUACUUUUAACAACUUUUUCAUUAUAAAUUCCUAUUUAUAAAUCUGGGAGUGGAAAAACAUUACAAUCCAUCAUGGAUAGAUUAUCACUGCUUUUUAAAUAUGGAUGAAAAAUAAUAAGGAAAAGUAAAAAAAUUUUUUUCUUUUUUGCUCAAGUGGCUAGUAUUGGACUUCCCCACAUACAGGUUACCCUUUCUUACGUUUUCUUUUUGUGACAAAGAUACUUGCCAUUUGUGAAAUGUUAUUUCAUAACAUUCAUAACAUUCAUUGUGAAUGUUAUUUCACAAAGGAUACAGAAAAGAAAAAGAAGAACCUGGCAGAUUGGAACACUAUCUGCUACUGCAGAUUUGGAAUGAUGAAAACACAGCUUAAGGAGAUGUAGAAACAAACCACAGUGCAAGCUGCAUGGCAAAACCUGCAUGCAGAAAUCACAUAACUAUAAAGAUUGUCAUAUAGGGCUGUGGGUUAGAGCGUGAUUAUCUUUGCUAACAGCACAUAUAUAUAUAUAUGUGCCCAGGUAUACGCAAGGAUGGAGAAAAUAUUCUUUGUCCUGAGAUAUUUAAGGCUUUUUGACACUUCUGUUGCUACUUAUCAUGGUUAUUUCUUCCAUCUGCACAGCAAUAUGCUGUGUGUCAAUUUGUGAAAGCUAUAGGAUAUCACCACCUACGUAAAUGAGAACAUAAAUGGGAACAUUUAUGGAUUGAAAAAAAGGGACUGAAAUGCUGCAUUAAUUUUGCCUUUAUUUCUUACUGAGUUUCACAUACCUGUUUUCCCAGAAUUUACAGUUUUUCAGCAUAGAGCACUUUCUGUGUUGCCAGAAGCUUGCAGUUUCAGAGACAAGGCUCACAGGAGAAGGAAGCAACACCGGAGAUAAUGCUGAUGGAUUAGUGGAAUGAGAAACUUGUUCCAAAGGCAGCUUUGCUGCUGAUCCUGUUUGUCUCACUUGAAUGAAAAGAAGAUGGGAAAACAUUAUCCUUCAUCACAGCUGCUACAGGUGGGGAAAUAAUACACUAGGGGUGGGGGUCGUAACAAACUGGUCCCUAAUCAAAUUUCACUAUAAUUCUCUUAUCGUUAUUGGUAUGCUCAGUUUCUGUUUCUUCAUUUUGCCUAAUCCAUCUUAUUUUUGUAUUUUCUCCUAGUUCAGCCCCAGCUCCUCUUUCUAAUUUGCAGCCUUUCUCUUUACUGUUUAAAUGGUAUAUCAAAUGCAAGACUACAGGAAGAGUGAGGAGCCAAAAUGUGAGAGAACUACUGCUCUCCCCAUGCCUGCAGCACUCUGCCACUCCUCGGGUUGGUGACAGUGCCUACAGUACUUGCCUGUGACUCAUGAUUUCUUUUGCAAAGGCACAAUAAGCAACACCCACUCAGAGCCAUCAGACCCUCACCACCAAGAAGACCAGAAGAACCGGACUGACGGGAUGCCGUUGGGUUCCACAACGGUGAUACAUUUUCUAUUUUAAUAUCUCUGUCUGUCACUUUCUUCUUCCUCUUGUUCCUUUUCCUAUUUCUUUCUAUCUCUUUCUCUGCCUCACAUUUACCAAUAAAUAAAACCCAUACUAUUGACUUUGGUGUCUAGUUUUAUUUGCACUUUUAUUCCGGCAGAGGUAUUUCUAAUAAUUUUAAUAAGUGGAUCCUAACAAGGCCUCAUGUCUCCAUGUCUGCCUCUACACUGCUGAUCACAUCUGUUCUCUUCCCCAGUCCACCUUCUUUGUUAGUCUCUUUGCCUGUGUCAUGUAGCAGAGAACAUAUGUCUAAAGUAUUGAUAUCUGUAGAUGAAGUCACAUGCAACUGGCUGUUACCAGCUUGGAGUUUUGGAUUAUGGCUCAUCUAAAGCCACUUUUCUAGUUUCCCUGGUUUGGGCUCACCCUGUGGGCUAUGGGUGCAGGGCUGUACAGGAUGGUAGCUGCACUCCUCAUCAUCAGCUGAGACAUGGGCAGAGGAACAGACACCUGUCCAUCUCUUGCUCUGUCUGUUCUUCCAUAUGCCCUUGACACUUCCUCAGAUCUCAGUUUACCCCACUUCCUGCCUCCCCAAUGUCAUGCUUUAUCUGAUGGACAGGUAAAGAGUUUUAUUCCCUGUACACUGUGGUUCCCUUUAUCUACCUUAAGGACCUUGAAGGCCCCAGAUCACCCUUAAAAUAUUUUUUGGCUGGGGAAGGUACAGGACUUGUCUCAUAUCCUCCAUGGGUUUAAGUCCUAACCCAAAUCCUCAAAGAUACUGGAAGAUGACAAGCAGAAGCAUGACUGGGAUAACAGCUUCAUGAGGGCUGAUAUCACAGUGUAACUACUGCCAGUUAUUUAUACAUAUUCAAUCCAUACUGUUUGAGAACUAGUUUGAACUUUAAAAUUCACAUCCUUCAAAACAUUUGGCUUAAAUAGAUAUUUCAUUUCCCCAAGUAAUAGGCAAGCUGAGGCUUGAUUGUUAUGUCCUGCUCUCUUCAGUAAAUCCUACAGCAUGAAUUAUGAAUCGUCACUCUCUUUUCUUCUGAACAAAGCUGUUGCAAUGUCAUUUAUAGAGAGGGGAUCUGAAUAGAACUAUGGCUAAUAGAUUAUAUGUUCUCAGCUCCCCACACAAUUUUGUCAUACUCCUCAGGGAUGAAAUUUCCACUUUUUGAUGCCUUUCAGAAGAGCUGGAUUUUCUUUUGCUGCAAAAAUUACAAGCCUAAUUUCACUGUUAGUCACUAUAACCAUGAACUUUCUAUAUACAACCAUAUUGUCCUGCACCAGCAUCCUCCUCUAACCCAUUUUCCAAAUUGUCAUUGUACCAGUCAGAAUGGUUGAAAUCUUAAUUUGGUGCUUUCUAAGGAAAACAUAUACAGGGACGUAAUGAACGUAUAGUCCUUUCCAAGAAUGUAUUUUUUAAACUUGUUUACAGCUGACCUGUGUAGAGCUCAAACCGUUCUGCUGGGCAAUGUUCUAGCUCUCCUCUACAAUUUCCAUUAACAGCUGGAUGCUCUGCCCUUUCCUACCUUGCAAAUGCAAAAGCUUAGGAAAAUCUGUCAGGUUCUUUGACAUGCAGCUAGGAUUUUUUAAUUCUUCAUCACAGUUUAAAAGUCUCUACUGAGGAAUGAAUUUUCUGAUCAUUCAAACUCAAGCAAGUCAAGGAGUCCAUUAUAUUAAUGGCAUCUUUCACUGCUUUAAAAUUCCAAAGGGACAAUAUAUGACACCGAUUAAGAAUAACGGAGCAAGAAUAAGCCUAAUAGCCAAGGCAGUGAAUGCCACACAUGAUGUCCAGAGCCCAAUUUCAAUCCUUGAGCGAUGUAACUUCCUAUGUCUGGAAGUACUGCCACAAUGGAAAAUUCAUUGUCUUAGAAGUGAAGACUUUUUCUUGUCCAUAACUGACAGUAUCUGCCCAACAAAAGAAAUUACAGAAUCUGGGGGUAUCUACUUAUGAUUAUUUUGUCACAGUUGUGCCUCUGCAGAGUUUUGCUUAAAUUCUCCAGGCACAAGAAAGAAAUGAUUUGGAGGAAUUCCUAAGGAGAAAAAUGUCAGGGGACAUUAUUAGGAGACCUCUGCUCUCUCUAAACAAAUGCACUUGACAGCAGUGAUUAUGUCUUUCAGUAAGGUAAGAUACAUCUGUCAGAGACCAAACUGCGCUCUUAAUGGCUAUAAUAAAUCAGUGAAUACCAUCUGAAAUGAUUCAUAGAAACUGUAAUAAUUUAAAUUUUAUCUAAAUUGUGUAAACAUUUAGUAGUAGCAAAAAAAUCUCGAACUUAAAUUUGAAAAUAUAUACAGAAAAGUCCCUAAACUAUCAGUGAUUUUCCACCGCACUAGAAACUGUGAGGAAUCUGUCUAUGCAAUCUUAAUUAAUUUUUUUUUUUGAUUUUAUGAACCCUAUUUAUUACUAUGACCUCUGGUUUGCUUUAAAACUUUCUUUUUAUGAUAGAAAAAGGUAGUAUCUUUGAAUCUGAAACAGGAACCUCAAAGGCUGUCAUCAAAGAGACAUGCUCUUCAAGAAGAACAAAAAGAGACGAAUCACCAACUACAUCAGAUGGCUGAGCUGAACAAGUGAAAGACUGGAAAGGCAUGUUCUCUCUAACGAUGCUGAAAGCAAUGGAACAAGUCAUCUGUCAGGGAUCCAGUGUAAGCCAUAUGUCUGCUAGGGCUUCUGGCCAUUUUAAAUCUCUGAAACAGAGUGCAGGGAACAACUGCAAACAAGUGGGUGACUGCAGAAAUGGGACACUUUCUCAGCUGUUAGAAAGGCAUAGUGGAAACGUAAGUUUGGAGGGGUGCUGGUUAAACCUUACCACAACAACCAACUUCAGAAAAGGAAGGAAAGAUUCUGAGAAAUGAUGGUCGAAGAUUAACUCUUAAUGAAGUACAUUGGAUAGGAGCUGAUUAAGCCUAUUUACUUUUGUAAAACUUAAAGUGGAUACAAGUACCUGCCAAUAUCACAUGAUAUGAAGACCUGGGGAUAGGAGUUCUGCCCAAGUCCCUGCUUUGUAGGGAGCAGGAUACAAGUUGGUAUGUGAUUUCAUGGCAAACUUUUUUAUGUUUGAAGGUUUCAGGUGGUUCUUUCCUCCAACAGAUUUAUCUCCCUCACUGACAUAGGUAAACACAAAGAAAAAUUAUUUUGGAAAGGUCUAUGGGACUUACAUAAACCCUGAGUACCCUCAGUGUACUGUUAAACAUUAAAAGAACAUUAUUAAAAUGUGUCACAAGAACACAGCAGAAGAGAUCAAGGGUCUCUGCAACAGGAAGAAGUUUGUGAAGCUAAAUUCCUGAACCAUCUGUGGUAAUGUCCCAUGAAAUUAAGCAAGAAAAAGAGAAAUAAAACAGGCUUUAAAGUUCCACCCUAUGGAAAUAUUCCUUUGUUCUCACAAGUGCGUCAGUCUCUUUAAACCUGAGCAAGCUACAUUAAUCAAGGCUCUGAGAAAUUUUAGAAGCAGUAGGAGUACUCCUGUAAUACUCCCAACAACCCGUCUGCAGCCCCCAGUGCAUAAAAAGAAAAGACAGCUUCUCCUUGGUUCCUCAUCCUCUAUUUCCCCCAAACCAAAUUAUGCAUCCAGAGAAAAAUUUUCCAUGCAGCCUUUUCUUUCUCAUUUUCCUUACUUCACCCUCCUUUUCAAUACCUCUUCAUAAUAAUUCUUUCUGGGAAUACUCUCAGUAUUUUGAUUUAAUUUCCAGAUUCAAAAAUCCUCUCUGAGUAAAAACUCUCUUUAGCAUAAGGUUGGCAGACUUUCUCCCUUGCUGAUAAUAGGCAUUUGUGUUAGCUGCCAACAGUUACUUUGAUAAUAGUCACAGUAUCUUACUGACAAUUAAUGUAGGUUUCCCUGUUAGACUAGUAAUUAGGCCUUCAAAAUGUCAGAAUCUGGUCCAGAUUAUUAUCCAGAAUAUUCUGGAUACUAGUUGUGAAUAAAUAAACAAUAAUAAAAAAGUUAAUGUGAAUUUACAAUAUCUGACUGAAAUGCAAUCUGGAUUGCAGUGUGAUCCUGCUCGCUGUUGGGGGGGGGGGCAGGCUGGUUCACUCUUAUGAAUUCUGGGGGAUGGCCCCUUCCAGCUCACUUGGCCAAAUCUGUGCUGUUGCUCACCAGCUGAAUUGAGUACUUUUCAGAUGAGUAAAGAAAACAAAAUCUGUCAGUGUGCAAGACAGAGAAAGAUCUCUCUGAAACACAAUGUGCCACUGCAGUGGUUCAUGUUUAUUAGUGGUCUUAACUAAUACUGCAACUAAAAUGUCUGGAAUGAACCUCAUACUCCAGCUGUAUAGUAGCUGAUGGCAGAAAGACAAAACUAGGAGCAGCAGGGCUUCCAGUUGUGUCAAGCUAUGAAAGAGGACCUGAAACAAAUUCCUGCUUACUCAAAUGAGGAAAAUUGGGUAAGGGGCAUCUUCUAUCACUCUUUGUCUUAAUAGUAUGCAUAUUUAUAAUAUAUACCAUGAAAUCAAAAUAAGUGUUCCUUAUAAGUUUACCUUCCCUAGGAGGAUUUGGAG